AGCGGCAGACGGGAGAGUAACACGUGGGAACGUGCCCUUCAGUUCGGAACAACCCAGGGAAACUUGGGCUAAUACCGGAUACGUCCGUAAGGAGAAAGAUUUAUCGCUGAAGGAUCGGCCCGCGUCUGAUUAGCUAGUUGGUGAGGUAACGGCUCACCAAGGCUACGAUCAGUAGCUGGUCUGAGAGGAUGAUCAGCCUCACUGGGACUGAGACACGGCCCAGACUCCUACGGGAGGCAGCAGUGGGGAAUAUUGGACAAUGGGCGCAAGCCUGAUCCAGCCAUGCCGCGUGGGUGAUGAAGGCCCUAGGGUUGUAAAGCCCUUUCGGCGGGGAAGAUAAUGACGGUACCCGCAGAAGAAGCCCCGGCUAACUUCGUGCCAGCAGCCGCGGUAAUACGAAGGGGGCUAGCGUUGCUCGGAAUCACUGGGCGUAAAGCGCACGUAGGCGGCUUUCUAAGUCAGGGGUGAAAUCCUGGAGCUCAACUCCAGAACUGCCUUUGA
rnacentral:rRNA from 1 species